rnacentral:rRNA from 1 species
CCUACGGGAGACAGCAGUGAGGAAUAUUGGUCAAUGGACGAGAGUCUGAACCAGCCAAGCCGCGUGAAGGAUGACUGCCCUAUGGGUUGUAAACUCCUUUUUUCUGGGACUAAAAUGUUCCACGUGUGGCAUUUUGUAUUUACCAUCUGAUUAACGAUCGGCCAAAUCCGUGCCAGCAGCAGCGGUAAUACGGAGGAGGCGAGCGUUAUCCGGAUUUGUUGGGUUUAAAGGGAGCGUAGGUGGAUUGUUAAGUCAGUUGUGAAAGUCUGCGGCGCAACCGUAGAAUUGCAGUUGAAACUGGCAGUCUUGAGUACAGGAGAGGUGGGCGGAAUUCGUGGUGUAGCGGUGAAAUGCUUAGAUAUCACGAAGAACACCGAUUGCGAAGGCAGCUCACUGGACUGCAACUGACGCUGAGGCUCGAAAGUGUGGGUAGCAAACAGGAUUAGAUACCCGAGUAGUC